rnacentral:rRNA from 1 species
GCUGGGCUUUAACUGACGCUGAGGCACGAAAGCGUGGGUAGCAAACAGGAUUAGAUACCCUGGUAGUCCACGCUGUAAACGAUGAUUACUAGGUGUGGGGGGUCUGACCCCUUCCGUGCCGGAGUUAACACAAUAAGUAAUCCACCUGGGGAGUACGGCCGCAAGGUUGAAACUCAAAGGAAUUGACGGGGGCCCGCACAAGAAGUGGAGUAUGUGGUUUAAUUCGAAGCAACGCGAAGAACCUUACCAGGUCUUGACAUCCUAAGGAUCCUGUAGAGAUACGGGAGUGCCCUUCGGGGAAUUUAGAGACAGGUGGUGCAUGGUUGUCGUCAGCUCGUGUCGUGAGAUGUUGGGUUAAGUCCCGCAACGAGCGCAACCCUUACUGUUAGUUGCUACGCAAGAGCACUCUAGCAGGACUGCCGUUGACAAAACGGAGGAAGGUGGGGAUGACGUCAAAUCAUCAUGCCCCUUAUGACCUGGGCUACACACGUACUACAAUGGCCGUCAACAGAGGGCAGCAAAAUGGUGACAUGGAGCAAAUCCCUAAAAACGGUCUCAGUUCCACUGCAGGCUGCAACCCGCCUGCACGAAGAUGGAAUU